UACAGAGACUGCAAGCGUUAUUCGGAUUCACUGGGCGUAAAGGGCGCGUAGGCGGCUUGGCAAGUGGAUGGUGAAAUCCCUCGGCUUAACCGAGGAACUGCCGUCCAAACUGCUUCGCUUGAGACCGGGAGAGGUGAGUGGAAUUCCCAGUGUAGCGGUGAAAUGCGUAGAUAUUGGGAGGAACACCAGUGGCGAAGGCGGCUCACUGGACCGGUACUGACGCUGAUGCGCGAAAGCGUGGGGAGCAAACGGG
rnacentral:rRNA from 1 species